CCUGGUGGCUCAGAGGGUAAAGCACCUGCCUAAAACACAGGAGAUCCAGGUUCGAUUCCUGGGUCAGGA
rnacentral:tRNA from 1 species